rnacentral:rRNA from 1 species
ACUCCUACGGGAGGCAGCAGUGGGGAGUAUUGGACAAUGGGGGCAACCCUGAUCCAGCAAUGCCGCGUGAGUGAUGAAGGCCUUAGGGUUGUAAAGCUCUUUCGGCGGGGAAGAUGAUGACGGUACCCGCAGAAGAAGCCCCGGCUAACUUCGUGCCAGCAGCCGCGGUAAUACGAAGGGGCUAGCGUUGUUCGGAAUUACUGGGCGUAAAGGGCGCGUAGGCGGUCUUGUAAGUCAGGCGUGAAAGGCCCGGGCUCAACCUGGGGACUGCGCUUGAUACUGCGAGGCUUGAAUCCGGGAGAGGAUGGCGGAAUUCCCAGUGUAGAGGUGAAAUUCGUAGAUAUUGGGAAGAACACCGGUGGCGAAGGCGGCCAUCUGGCCCGUGAUUGACGCUGAGCCGCGAAAGCGUGGGGAGCAAACAGGAUUAGAUACCCUGGUAGGCUCU